rnacentral:rRNA from 1 species
UACGUAGGGAGCAAGCGUUGUCCGGAAUCAUUGGGCGUAAAGAGCGUGUAGGCGGCCAGACAAGUCUGCUGUGAAAACUCGAGGCUCAACCUCGAGCUGUCGGUGGAAACCGUCUGGCUAGAGUCCGGAAGAGGAGAGUGGAAUUCCUGGUGUAGCGGUGAAAUGCGCAGAUAUCAGGAAGAACACCUAUGGCGAAGGCAGCUCUCUGGGACGGUACUGACGCUGAGACGCGAAAGCGUGGGGAGCGAACAGG